GACUAACGCUGGCGGCGUGCUUAACACAUGCAAGUCGAACGGUAAGGCCCUUCGGGGUACACGAGUGGCGAACGGGUGAGUAACACGUGGGUGAUCUGCCCUGCACCUCGGGAUAAGCCUGGGAAACUGGGUCUAAUACCGGAUAGGACUCCUGCCUGCAUGGGUGGGGGUGGAAAGCUUUUGCGGUGUGGGAUGGGCCCGCGGCCUAUCAGCUUGUUGGUGGGGUGAUGGCCUACCAAGGCGACGACGGGUAGCCGGCCUGGGAGGGUGACCGGCCAAACUGGGGCUGGGAUACGGCCCAGACUCCUACGGGAGGCAGCAGUGGGGAAUAUUGCACAAUGGGCGCAAGCCUGAUGCAGCGACGCCGCGUGAGGGAUGACGGCCUUCGGGCUGUAAACCUCUUUCAGCACAGACGAAGCGCAAGUGACGGUAUGUGCAGAAGAAGGACCGGCCAACUACGUGCCAGCCGCCGCCGUAA
rnacentral:rRNA from 1 species